rnacentral:misc_RNA from 1 species
UCUCCCUCUCCCGAGUGUUACCGCCAAAGCUCGCAAACAAGGGCAGAUUGGCACGAUUUCAUCCAGGCUCGCCAGAUUGGCAUGCUUUUAUCAAGACUCGCCAUCGUAUUUUGCAUAUUGGGGGCGAAAAAUCCACAUACCACACCCAUUUUACGCAUUGCCUAUGAAUGCACGCAUACAAAGAGCAAGCAACUGCAAGCAGAAUCUCCCACAUAACCAGAAAACUUAUGAUACAU